rnacentral:lncRNA from 1 species
UAACAUUUUGUUUUUUUGGCCCGACAGGACCACAAGAUCAAAAACAACUAGUUGAUAACAAUCACGGCCUCCAAGUGUGCCACAUCCCCCAGCCGAUGGCUGGGGGAUGGUGGCACAAGUGGAAGGAGGAGGCACACAUGCACAAGUUGUAAACCCCUUGGUUUGGACUUCCCGGGUGGUCUCCCAGCCCAGUACUACUCAAGCCCAAGGUCGCUUACCAAGUGCAUGCGGCCAGACCGGGUGUCCCGGCCAGCCAUGCCUCCGAGCAUGGCCCCUCGGGGUACAAUAUAAUGUUCGCGGUUUACAGUUUACAGAUGUGUGUCAAUGAUCCUUCCGCAGGUUCACCUACGGAAACCUUGUUAUGACUUCUCCUUCCUCUAAAUGAUAAGGUUUAAUGAACUUCUCACAGCGUCGCCGGCGGUGAACCGUCAGCAUCGCUGCAAUCCGAACACUUCACCGGAUCAUUCAAUCGGUAGGAGCGACGGGCGGUUGUAAGCCACAAAUUUUUCCUUUCCAAUUUGCCAGCUUACCUCGCCUAUCCGACCAACUCCGCCUUGGCUUGUGCUAAGUUCCCUCGCCAAGGUUCUCGCCUAUGGUGCCAGCUCCUACUUGGUUUCAGCUACUUACUGCACGAGCAACGGAGUGUUAGCCAUCCAUCUACGGAUUCCCAAAUCUCUCCCAAUCCCCCUCCCCGGGUUAGACUGGACUUAAGGUUCGGCUACACUCCCCGCAGGCACAAGCAGCCAAGCACACCAAGCCUCCAGAUUCCUAACACCCCAAGGUACCACAAGGCUUGAUCAUGGGACCCUCUAAAUCCCAAGCCUUGGGUGCAGCACUUGCUUCGGGACGUCGGGGUGAAACACCGUGGCCUAACGGCCCGGUAUGGGUACCUCUACCCCCCCACUUCCAUCCCGAAGGAAAGGCCCAAGCCCCCGGAAGGGCGAGGACCAAUGAGCCACAAGGUACUCAAGUGGGGCACCACUCCACCUGAGCCGGGAGCACCGCAAUCGGUUUCCCUUUCGGGAGUGGGAGCUGCUCUUGAGCACUUCCUUGGAUGGCCCCUCCGGCACCAGCCAAGUCCAUGCUCACUCCCACCCAAGGCCCCUCGGUCCCAGUCCCAACCUCAAGUCGGUUUGGAAGCCCAACUGGAGAGUCCCUUCUAAACUGGUUCCUGGACCUCACUAUCCCUACUAUACUUUUGGAACCCCCUGCAGCCCCCCCCCCCUGGGAGACGCACGCUUUGGGCUUUCACCCCUUGACCCGUAUUAGUAUUUGGACUUAGUCUCUAGCUCGAUCUCGGACCCGAUUUCGGAUCCGACUUCGGAUUCGGGUUCGGACUCGAUCACGGACUCGAUCUCGGACCCGACCUCGGACCCGACCUCGGACUCGACCUCGGACUCGGUCUCGGACCCGAUUUUGGAUCUGGACUCCGUCUCGAACUCGGUCUCGAACUCGGACUCGAACUCGGUCCCCGAGUCGGUCUCGGACUCGAUUCCGGACUCUAUCUCGAACUCGGUCCUAGAGUCGGUCUUGGACUCGAUCCUCGACUUGGUCCCAUCCGAUGAACUCUUUGUCAUUUCGGUCAAGCUUUUGGGGAUCCUUUAGCCUAUGACAUCUCGGGGAGUCGGUUCCUUACAACUCCACCACCCAUAGAAGAAGUUCGAUGCCCACAUCGAACGUCUCGUUUUAUCCUACGACUUGUUGUCCAUGUCUCCGGGGGCAUCCCCCCACUUAGCGGUGUGCCUAAGUUAGCCUCCCCGGCCAAGAGCCCAUGACAACGGAAUAUAGGUGUCCCUAUAUUCCUCACUUCACCACGCCCUAGUAUAGGGUCGGGACUUGAACCCAGCCUUGCUUUACUAGGGGGUUGGGACUCGAACCCAACCUCCGUAGAAUACGUCUACGGAUUCGACAUCCCCGCGGGGAGUCGGGCGUAGUGCCCUACGCCUGGUCGACCUAUCCAACCCAUGCUAAUUAGCUUACCUUUGGCGCGCCUUCGGGUCCCAACAUAUGCCAUUUGCUCAACUUUGCAAAUUAAUAUUUUUAAUUGAAUUUUGCAUAAGUACAUAAAGUUCUGCCUUGCAGAAAUUCCUCCACUAGAUCUCGUGCGUUCGCUAGGUUCUCCUCCGGUUCCCAUGUUGCUUCGCAGUGUGGAAAUCCUUUCCACUUCACAUGGAACUCUCUCACCUCGCGUCCUUGUCGCUUGCUCUUGCGCGCAUUGAGGAUGGCCUCGACUUCGUAUUCCUCUUCCCCUUGGAUAACCUCAGGUAAAGGUCUCACUUGGUCCUUGCGAAGCGGAUCCUCAAAGUACGGCUUGAGUAAGUUCACGUGGAACACUGGGUGCAUCUUCCCCAUCUCUCGAGGAAGUCGGAGUCGGUAAGCCACUUUACCGAUUCGUGCCUCAAUUUCAUAAGGCCCCGCGAACCUGCUUAAGGAACUCAAGAUCAAUUCAUUUACAGGAAUACAUGCGUCUUUACCUUUGGGUCAACUUUCGGCUGAUCCA